CUCCUCCUCACUGUCCUCAGCGUUGGGGGAAAAGCCAUUCCCAGCUCUGCCAUUCCAGCCGCCCCCAAGGCAUCAGCCCUCCACUCUGGAACCCCGUAAGGGACUGGUGUACAAUCCCCAGCCCGAUCCAUUUUCUAGUUUGCAGAGGAAAAUCCGGUCCGGCGUUUAUUUUUAGCAGCGCUUUCCAGUGACCGAAUGCUCCAGCUCCGGGGCUGGGAUUCUGAGGACCGCGCCGGGGAGCGGAGGGGGUGGGGAGCGCGAGGCGGCGAGAAGGGAAGGUGUGCGCAUGCGUGCCGGCACCCAUGCAAAUCCGCUGUCCAUCCAGCGAGCAAAGUGGGAUGAUCCGUCACUACACCUGCAGCACCACGCUCGGGGGACAGCUCCUGCUCGCAGCUUCCAGACCCAGGAAGCCUGAAGGGAAGGAAGGAAGCCCCAGCGAAAUCAUCAGAUUGGCUUCCCAGAUUUGGGAAUCUGAAGCGGGCCCACAUCUUCCGGCCAACUUCGAUUGAACUUCCAAGCACUCGACAGGGACCGAAAUGGAGAGCAAAGGUAUGUGGCUGUCCCCAUCCGGAGACUUCCCGGUGCAUGUGCGUGUGUGGCCCGGGCGGUCCUCGGCGGCAAGGGGACUGCAGUGCCGGGAGCCAGCAUCGUACUAGGUCGAUCGGAGGAGAUGCUAUAUCCGUUGCAGCACCGGGAAGUGUGGCAGGAAGGCCACUUCUUUUUAACUCCCACAGCUUGGAAGGCAGUGUUUAAUACUCCAUCAGUUGCGUAGUGAAGUGUGUUGAGUUUUUUUUUUUUUAGGUGGGGGGUGGCGAGGGGAGAGCCCCUUCUAAAAUGGAGGGGGAGGAGAAUGUGUUGGUAAAGCAAUAUCAUUUUUAAUGUUUGAUUGGUUUUAGGAUUGCUGACAGGUACGUUUGUAUCUGGCAUCCAACAAUGUACGGCUAAAAAAACAAUGUUUGGAUUUCUCCACCCCCCACCCCAUGAACAUGGUAUUUCUGGGUGUGUAUGAGCCCAUCUUACUGCAUUUUGAAUAGAUAUCAGCCAAAAAAUUAGGUCUAUUCGAAGCAGCGUGCGUUAGAACUGACCUCUAAGAAGAACAGUGUUAUCAGAGUACCUCUUGGCUCCCAAAGAUAAUGGAUUUACUAGUUCUGGACGUGUAGGUAUUAAUAUUCUCUUCAUAAGCAUUCUGCAUAAUGCACAUACACACCAACUGGUACAUGAGCUGUACACACCGGAUCGCAUAUUUAAUGCACAUGAUCAAAAUGACUGUUAAAAUUGUAAGGCUGGAUAUCCUUUGGCUUUAACCCUCUCCGUGCAAGUCUCUCUCCUCUGCCUCCUCCUUCUUAAAAUGCCCACCAGGCUAUGGGAGCCUCACAGGAUGUGGUCAGAUAGCCAGGAGGAAUAUUAGAUGUAUUUAAUUAUGGUGAAAUCGGAAGAAAUGAUGUCAACUUUUAUGAAACUAUAUUCAUUACCCAGAACUCGAGAAGCUAUAUUUGAAACAAGGUUUUAUUUUUAACCAGGAAUGUCAGUCUCUCUGGCAAUCUACUUGGGAUGAGGGAAUGGUGAGGAGC
ensembl:lincRNA